rnacentral:rRNA from 1 species
UAGAGUUUGAUCCUGGCUCAGGAUGAACGCUAGCGACAGGCUUAACACAUGCAAGUCGAGGGGCAGCGAGGGCGUAGCAAUACGCCUGUCGGCGACCGGCGCACUGGUGAGUAACACGUAUGCAACCUGCCCCCUACAGGGGUAUAACCCUUAAAAAUGCAGACUAAUCCCCCAUAGUCCUGGGUGCUGCAUGGCAUUCAAGGGAGAGGGUUUCCGGUAGGGGAUGGGCAUGCGGCGCAUUACCUAGUUGGCGGGGCAACGGCCCACCAAGGCGACGAUGCGUAGGGGUUCUGAGAGGAAGGUCCCCCACACUGCUACUGAGACACCGACCAUACUCCUACGGGAGGCAUCAGUGAGGAAUAUUGGUCAAUGGGCGCAGGCCUGAACCAUCCAAGUCGCGUGAGGGAAGACUGUCCUACUGAUUGUAAUCCUCUUUUGUCGGGGAGUAACGUGCGGGACCCGUCCCGUAUUGAGAGUACCCGAAGAAAAAGCAUCCGCUAACUCCGUGCCAGCAGCCGCGGUAAUACGGAGGAUGCGAGCGUUAUCCGGAUUUAUUGUGUUUAGAGGGUGCGCAGGCCGCGCGCCAAGUCAGCGAUCAAAGUUCCGGGCUCAACCCGGUGUCGCCGUUGAAACUGACGUGCUCGAGUGCGUGCGAGGAAAAGAAAUUGCGUUGUAUAUCGGUGAAAUACAUAUAUAUGACACACAACUCCGAUUGCGAGGCAUCUUUCCAGCGCGCUACUGACGCUGAGGCACAAAAGCGUGGGGAUCAAACAAGAUUACAUCCCCUGGU